CCUACUUAAUUAAUAAUGUUGUUACAUAUAUAGAGUAAAUAUAGAGGAAGCAUGUAAUAAAUUGUACAAAUUUAAUUCCCUACUUAAUCUACUACUACUUGGUUGCUAUGUAGUACUAGUAUAUAUAUCCUGGCCUGCUCCUCUCCGUUUAGGUGUAAGCACAUGCUACAAUUCAUAAACAUGCCUGUCCUGUUACAUUACAUGCACAUUUAUUAUUUUACAUGGAAAUAAAUGGCUAUUUGAUUAUGUUUGUUUCAAUUCUCUCUCAUGCAUGCAAUAAGUUCAUAUAUGCAUGCAAUUAAUCCUCUUACCCUACCAUGAGACUCAAAUGUUCCUUAAUAGUAUUUGUAUGAAUUGUAAGUUACAAUUACUAACACAAACGAAU
rnacentral:lncRNA from 1 species